rnacentral:rRNA from 1 species
CCUACGGGAGGCAGCAGUGAGGAAUAUUGCUCAAUGGACGAAAGUCUGAAGCAGCGACGCCGCGUGAGGGAUGAAGUCCGUUUGGAUGUAAACCUCUUUUGCAGAAGAAGAAUGUUUCGAUUUCUCGAAAUUGACGGUAUUUUGCGAAUAAGCACCGGCUAACUACGUGCCAGCAGCCGCGGUAAUACGUAGGGUGCGAGCGUUGUCCGGAAUUACUGGGUGUAAAGGGUCCGCAGGCGGGCGAGUAAGUCUGUGGUGAAAUCUUACGGCUUAACCGUAAAAUUGCCACGGAAACUGCUUGCCUUGAGUGUGAAAGAGGAAGAUGGAAUUCAUGGUGUAGCAGUGAAAUGCGUAGAUAUCAUGAAGAACACCGGUAGCGAAGGCGAUCUUCUGGUUCACAACUGACGCUCAGGGACGAAAGCGUGGGGAGCAAACAGGAUUAGAUACCCUGGUAGUCCACGCCCUAAACCAUGGAUACUCGAUGUCGGAUCGAAAGAUUCGGUGUCUGAGACAACGACGAAUAAGUAGUCCACCGUCGGGGAGGUACGAGUCGUCGUAGGUUAGUUAAACGUACGAAAGGAAAGUUAGACGGCGUUGAGACGUUAGCCGACGGACGACGACGAGGGAGGAGG